rnacentral:rRNA from 1 species
CCUACGGGAGGCUGCAGUGGGGAAUAUUGGACAAUGGGGGCAACCCUGAUCCAGCCAUGCCGCGUGUGUGAAGAAGGCCCUCGGGUUGUAAAGCACUUUCAGUGAGGAAGAACGCCUGGUAGUUAAUACCCAUCAGGAAAGACAUCACUCACAGAAGAAGCACCGGCUAACUCCGUGCCAGCAGCCGCGGUAAUACGGAGGGUGCGAGCGUUAAUCGGAAUUACUGGGCGUAAAGCGCGCGUAGGUGGCUUGAUAAGCCGGUUGUGAAAGCCCCGGGCUCAACCUGGGAACGGCAUCCGGAACUGUCAAGCUAGAGUGCAGGAGAGGAAGGUAGAAUUCCCGGUGUAGCGGUGAAAUGCGUAGAGAUCGGGAGGAAUACCAGUGGCGAAGGCGGCCUUCUGGACUGACACUGACACUGAGGUGCGAAAGCGUGGGUAGCAAACAGGAUUAGAUACCCCGGUAGUC